rnacentral:rRNA from 1 species
GAUGAACGCUGGCGGCGUGCCUAACACAUGCAAGUCGAACGGGGUUAAGGGAAGUUUUCGGAUGGAACUUAACUUAGUGGCGGACGGGUGAGUAACGCGUGGAUAACCUGCCCCAUAGAGGGGGACAACAGUUGGAAACGACUGCUAAUACCGCAUAGUAAUACAGAUUCGCAUGCUUCUGUAUUGAAAGCUUUAGCGCUAUGGGAUGGACCCGCGUCUGAUUAGCUAGUUGGUGAGGUAACGGCUCACCAAGGCGACGAUCAGUAGCCGGCUUGAGAGAGUGAACGGCCACAUUGGGACUGAGACACGGCCCAAACUCC